rnacentral:tRNA from 1 species
GGGGUUGUGGCUCAGUGGUAGAGCGCUUGCCUAGCAUGUGUGAGGUACUGGGUUCAAGUCCCAGCACCACA